rnacentral:rRNA from 1 species
UUACAGAGGGAAGCCCGAAGAAAUUCGGAUUAAUACCUCAUAAUAUUGAUAUUUGGAUCAAAUAUUAAUUAAAGUUUCGGCGGUAAAAGAUGGGCAUGCGUUUUAUUAGUUAGUUGGUAAGGUAACGGCUUACCAAGACUACGAUAAAUAGGGGUCCUGAGAGGGAGAUCCCCCACACUGGUACUGAGACACGGACCAGACUCCUACGGGAGGCAGCAGUGAGGAAUAUUGGACAAUGGGCGAGAGCCUGAUCCAGCCAUGCCGCGUGCAGGAAGACGGCCCUAUGGGUUGUAAACUGCUUUUAUACAGGAAGAAACCACCUUACGUGUAGGGUGCUGACGGUACUGUAAGAAUAAGCACCGGCUAACUCCGUGCCAGCAGCCGCGGUAAUACGGAGGGUGCAAGCGUUAUCCGGAAUCAUUGGGUUUAAAGGGUCCGUAGGCGGAUUAUUAAGUCAGAGGUGAAAUCCCACAGCUUAACUGUGGAACUGCCUUUGAUACUGGUAGUCUUGAGUUAUAUGGAAGUAGAUAGAAUGUGUAGUGUAGCGGUGAAAUGCAUAGAUAUUACACCCGAAUACCGAUUGCGAAGGCAGUCUACUACGUAUAUACUGACGCCAAUGGACGAAAGCGUGGGGAGCCGAACAGGAUUAGAUACCCCUGGUAGUCCACCCCCGUAAACGAUGGACCCUAGUUGUUGGGAUUUAUCCCCAGUGACUAAGCGAAAGUGAUAAGUGUCCCCCCCUGGGGAGUACGGUCCCAAGAUUGAAACCCCAAGGAAUUGACGGGGGCCCGCACAAGCGGUGGAGCAUGUGGUUUAAUUUCGAUGAUUACGCGAGGAACCUUACCAGGGCCUUAAAAUGUAAGUUUGCAUGAUUUUAGAGAUAGAUCCUUUUCUUUCCGG